GAUGAACGCUAGCGGGAGGCCUAAUACAUGCAAGUCGAGCGGUAGAGUGACUUCGGUUGCUUGAGAGCGGCGAACGGGUGAGUAACGCGUACACAAUCUACCUUUAAGAGGGGAAUAGCCCUGGGAAACUGGGAUUAAUGCCCCAUGGCAUCACGAGACGGCAUCGUUUUGUGAUUAAAGCUGAGGUGCUUAGAGAUGAGUGUGCGUCUGAUUAGCUAGUUGGUGCGGUAACGGCGCACCAAGGCGACGAUCAGUAGGGGGCGUGAGAGCGUGGACCCCCACACGGGUACUGAGACACGGACCCGACUCCUACGGGAGGCAGCAGUAAGGAAUAUUGGUCAAUGGAGGAAACUCUGAACCAGCCAUCCCGCGUGCAGGAAGAAUGCCCUAUGGGUUGUAAACUGCUUUUAUCUGGGAAGAAAAGUCGGGAUUUAUCCUGAUCUGACGGUACCAGAGGAAUAAGCACCGGCUAACUCCGUGCCAGCAGCCGACGG
rnacentral:rRNA from 1 species